rnacentral:rRNA from 1 species
UACAGAGGUCUCAAGCGUUGUUCGGAUUCAUUGGGCGUAAAGGGUGCGUAGGUGGCAGGGUAAGUUUGAUGUGAAAUCUCCGAGCUUAACUCGGAAACUGCAUUGAAUACUAUCCUGCUCGAGGGUUGGAAGGGGGACUGGAAUUCUCGGUGUAGCAGUGAAAUGCGUAGAUAUCGAGAGGAACACCAGUGGCGAAGGCGAGUCCCUGGACAACACCUGACACUGAGGCACGAAAGCGUGGGGAGCAAACAGG